CCUUAGAGUUUGAUCCUGGCUCAGGAUGAACGCUAGCUACAGGCUUAACACAUGCAAGUCGAGGGGAAACGACAUCGAAAGCUUGCUUUUGAUGGGCGUCGACCGGCGCACGGGUGAGUAACGCGUAUCCAACCUGCCCAUCACUUGGGGAUAACCUUGCGAAAGUAAGACUAAUACCCAAUGACGUCUCUAGAAGACAUCUGAAGGAGAUUAAAGAUUUAUCGGUGAUGGAUGGGGAUGCGUCUGAUUAGCUUGUUGGCGGGGUAACGGCCCACCAAGGCGACGAUCAGUAGGGGUUCUGAGAGGAAGGUCCCCCACAUUGGAACUGAGACACGGUCCAAACUCCUACGGGAGGCAGCAGUGAGGAAUAUUGGUCAAUGGGCGAGAGCCUGAACCAGCCAAGUAGCGCGCAGGAUGACGGCCCUAUGGGUUGUAAACUGCUUUUAUAAGGGAAUAAAGUGAGUCUCGUGAGACUUUUUGCAUGUACCUUAUGAAUAAGGACCGGCUAAUUCCGUGCCAGCAGCCGCGGUAAUACGGAAGGUCCGGGCGUUAUCCGGAUUUAUUGGGUUUAAAGGGAGCGUAGGCCGGAGAUUAAGCGUGUUGUGAAAUGUAGACGCUCAACGUCUGCACUGCAGCGCGAACUGGUUUCCUUGAGUACGCACAAAGUGGGCGGAAUUCGUGGUGUAGCGGUGAAAUGCUUAGAUAUCACGAAGAACUCCGAUUGCGAAGGCAGCUCACUGGAGCGCAACUGACGCUGAAGCUCGAAAGUGCGGGUAUCGAACAGGAUUAGAUACCCUGGUAGUCCGCACGGUAAACGAUGGAUGCCCGCUGUUGGUCUGAAUAGGUCAGCGGCCAAGCGAAAGCAUUAAGCAUCCCACCUGGGGAGUACGCCGGCAACGGUGAAACUCAAAGGAAUUGACGG
rnacentral:rRNA from 1 species